AAUACUGCCGUCUUAAUUAAGAAGGGCACAACUAACAUUUUUUGCGAAAUUAAGUUAUAUAUAUAUUCGAAAUCAGAAAAAAGAGGCCUAUCUGCCUAAUUUUUUGUGUAUUUUUAGUAGCAUAAUUAACAGGGAUAGUAUAAGCUUAAAGGACACAACUACACUAUUAUUUAAGUUUUAGUACAGGAAAAGGGCGCAUUGAGAGAUAUGACGUAUAAGCCACCUUUAAAUUUUAGUAUAUUUAAUUGAAAAGGCGUAACUGGCGUACGUCAAAUAUAAAAAAGGCUUAUGUGGCACUUGUGCUCAUCUUUUAUACCAACACAUUAACAAUUAAUGUAAAAGAAAGGUCACAACUGGCAGUUAUGCAAUAUGUCAUCGAGAAGCGCAAAAUUAGUAAAUGCUGCUUUACGCAACGAAAACUUUGUAAAGGAACAGAUAUCUGUCCCAUCAACAAGUGCCAUUAAAAAUUCCGUACAGGCAUCAAGUGAGG
rnacentral:misc_RNA from 1 species